UACGUAGGGACCGAGCGUUGUCCGGAAUCAUUGGGCGUAAAGAGCGUGUAGGCGGCCACUUAAGUCCUGCGUGAAAUCUUGCGGCUCAACCGCAAGCGGUCGUGGGAAACUGGGUGGCUAGAGUGCGGGAGAGGAGAGUGGAAUUCCGGGUGUAGCGGUGGAAUGCGUAGAGAUCCGGAAGAACACCAGUGGCGAAGGCGGCCCGCUGGGCAGUGGCUGACGCUGAGGCGCGACAGCGUGGGGAGCAAACAGG
rnacentral:rRNA from 1 species